rnacentral:tRNA from 1 species
GCAGUGGUCAUUCAGUGGUAGAAUUCUGGCCUUCCAUGUGGGAGACCCAGGUACGAUUCCUGGCCAGUGCA